rnacentral:rRNA from 1 species
AUGCAAUUUUGGAAUCGAAGAGACAUGUUAGUGGAAUUAGAGAGUAGAGCUCACAAUCAGUCAGCAUAUCAGAAGUAUCAAGCGUGGUAUGCGGGUCGUUACCGGUUAAAGCUAAAGCCCGGUUGGACUCACGAGGAAUGGUCGGAAUUGGUGUCUGAAGACCUGGAGACUGCAGAAGGUUUUCAUACAUUCAACACGGCGGGAAGAGAGUUGCUUAUGUGCGUCAACGAUGCCAAUGUAGCACUGAGUCAUCCCCGUGGUGGUGCAUUAUCUGAGAGGACUCUUAGGAGCACGAUGGAGAAGUUCAAGAAGCGGUUACAUAAGAUGGCAGCUAUGCUUUCUUGCCAUGGUGCUCAGCCCAGUGAUGUGUUUGCACCUGGUAGCUGCGCCGGCAGAGCUCGUAAACGUCGUUAUCUCUGCAACGAAGAGGACAUACAUGAGGAGGCCAAUGAAGAGGAGGCAACACAUCAAGAGGAGCCAACACAAGAAGAGGAGCUGAAAGUGCGUUAUAUCGACUAG